rnacentral:rRNA from 1 species
AACGAACGCUGGCGGCGUGUUUAAGACAUGCAAGACGCACGGGAUCAAUUUUGUAGCAAUACACGAUUGGUUCAGUGGCGCACGGGUGAGUAACACGUGAAUUACAUGCCCUUCAGUGGGGAAUAGCCCAGGGAAACUUGGAUUAAUACCCCAUGGUAUCGCGAGAUUAAAGGUGGCCGCAAGGCUGUCGCUGAAGGAUUGGUUCGCGGCCUAUCAGCUUGUUGGUGAGGUAACGGCUCACCAAGGCUACGACGGGUACCUGGUCUGAGAGGACGAUCAGGCACACUGGAACUGAGACACGGUCCAGACACCUACGGGUGGCAGCAGUCGAGAAUAAUUCACAAUGGGGGCAACCCUGAUGGUGCAACGCCGCGUGGAGGAUGACGGUCUUCGGAUUGUAAACUCCUGUCAUCCGGGAGUAAGACCUGGCUGUGAAUAGCAGACAGGGUUGAUAGUACCGGAAGAGGAAGGGACGGCUAACUUCGUGCCAGCAGCCGCAGUAA